UACGAAGGGGGCUAGCGUUGUUCGGAAUCACUGGGCGUAAAGGGCGCGUAGGCGGCUUUGUAAGUCGGGGGUGAAAGCCUGUGGCUCAACCACAGAAUUGCCUUCGAUACUGCAUGGCUUGAGACCGGAAGAGGUUAGUGGAACUGCGAGUGUAGAGGUGAAAUUCGUAGAUAUUCGGAGGAACACCAGAGGCGAAGGCGGCCAACUGGUCCGGUACUGACGCUGAGGCGCGAAAGCGUGGGGAGCAAACAGGG
rnacentral:rRNA from 1 species